UACAGAGGGUGCGAGCGUUAAUCGGAAUAACUGGGCGUAAAGGGCGCGUAGGUGGUUGCUUAAGAUGAAUGUGAAAUCCCUGGGCUUAACCUAGGAAUGGCAUUGAUGACUGAGUAGCUAGAGUAUUGUAGAGGGUAGUGGAAUUUCCGGUGUAGCGGUGAAAUGCGUAGAGAUCGGAAGGAACAUCAGUGGCGAAGGCGGCUACCUGGACAAAUACUGACACUGAGGCGCGAAAGCGUGGGUAGCAAACAGG
rnacentral:rRNA from 1 species